CUGAACAUUCAUGAUGAAAUAGCAUGUAGAAUUUAGCAUUUUAAAAUGGCAAAGUCUUGCACGUCCUUGCCCUGAGGUGUUACGAGCUACUUAUAAUUAAUUGCAUGAAACAGAAAGCCAAUUAUACUCAGUUGUUCCUCUCUAUGAUCCAGAGACACAAGAAAAGGAAAGUCUUCUUUGGAGUACUCGGUAGCCUUGUAGGGAAUGUUUUUUAUUAAAAGUAUCAUUCCCACACAGACUGUGGUGAAUAAUGACCUGCCUAAUCUUUGCCCUGCUCCAAUUUACCAUUUGGAUUAAUGGUAGGUGAGGUUUAAUUAUGGCACACAUAUUAUAUUAAACCUCAUUGUUCUUUCUGAACAUGAAGUACUAGGAGUAGGUGAGGAAUACAGGAGCUUAAAGGCCCUUUGUAUAAAAAGAAAAAAAAACUAGCACAGUUUUUUUUUUUCAUGGUAUCUGAAUGGUGAAGGUUUUUUUUUUGCUGCCUAAAGACAAGAAUUAUUGUAUGCACAGGUUUAAUAAGAGCAGCCUGCUAAUCACAAGCAUGACCUGAGAUUGUCGUGUAGCUAGGGGAUUCAAAAGCAGUGUAUUCUAUUGUCAUGUUUAACAUAGGAGUGGUCUUGUUUUAUCUUGUGUGAUCUAGGUGAUCAAGCAUUUUCAAACUUUAGUUAGUUGGUUGUAGUAUGAGACGGUGAGAGAGAGAGAAAAAGAAAAUGUGAGAGAGAAAGAGGGGGAAAAAAACCUAAUAAAUGUGCAUAAGGAAGUCUUAUUGUGUGGCAAACAUCAAGCCACAAUCAACCAUUUUAAUCUUGAAAGGAAAAGGACAAGAGGUGUAACCGUAGAUCUCUAACUAGUGCAAUGCUUGGAACUGUGGUAUUUUACAAAAAGCCAGCUACUAACGUAUGCGCUCACACUUGUUUUUUUUUUCGCAUUUGCUUCUUCAUCUUUGAUCUUGGAGGCUUUUCAGUAGGUCUCUCUCUCUCUCUCUCUCUCUCUCUGAGCCUCGAAAUGCAUAAAAGUGACAUCCGUCUGCUUGAAGGUAUCGUUCACCCUCCUUGAUUGCAGGUUAAAAUAUUAGGUAAAGAGACAAGCCAAUAUGUUCAUCUUUAUCAAAGGCCAUGUUUUUACAGGCCUCACAACUGAGAUGGAAAGAAGAGUGAAGUGUAGAGGAAAGUGACGACAGGAAGCGGCGCAAACGCAGACACCAUUUAACCAAAAAAAACAAAACAACAACCCAACAACAAGUGAGGUAUUAAGCGUUCUCACUUUUUCAUGUCAAUACAGUGUCUUUGUACUCUAAAGGAAGCUUCUACAUUCUGACAUGAUUAAAUGCUGCACAGCUCGAAGGCAGUCUUUAUCUCAUCUUGCUUUCCUCCUGUGAGAGGGUUGCCACCUGCGUGGUGUGAUGUCAGUGGCGUCUCUUUCCCUUCUCUAAACACAUGGUGUGAUGUAGUGUGGAUGAGCGAGAGGAGGUGUUGCUGGUGCUUUUGCUUAUGCAGACACACACACACACACACACAAACACACACACACACACACACACAGUAGUGCGAGGGCUGGGGAAGUGUGAACCGCCAGCGUCAGGUCUCUAGUGCUCCCAGCGGCCCACGCUGCAUACACUCACCUCCGUGCCUAAGCCUGCAAUCUGCUCUCUGUUUGCUUAUUCCUCUGUGAGUAUGCACGUGUACGUGUGUUCAUCUGUGCAUGAAAAAUAAAGGUUGAAAAAUGUAAGAGCACGCAGCUAGUCUCUUUAAGUAUGCACUUUGAAAUGUCUGGAAUAUAAGAGCUUCCCAAAUCACUUCCUGUGCUCUCCAAGGUUUCAGCCUCUUGUUACCCUUCAGCUAAAGCAGAUAGUGUGGCAGUGCAGGAUUUGUUUUAAAUGCAAAAAAAAAACAAACAAAAAAAGAAGCGCUGAUCUGGAUUUUAGUCAGGCAAGAGCGAGGGCAGGUGUUUUGCUUCAUUCCAUCUGUGUGCUGGGCAGCAGCCAUUAAAACCGACGUUGCCAGUCUCCGAGUACACCUUCUAAUUUGGGCCCGUUCUACUCACCACACAAUCGCAGGCACAUCCGCUCUUCUGCUUUUCAUGACACUUGGGGCUUUCUCACAUGUUGUGUUCCAUCCAGUACUCCUCCACACGAAGAAAAAUUCUGUCUUGUAUAACAAUGCUGAACACACUGUAGAUUACAGUAAAUGGUGUGUAUCAGAUCUCUCUCGGAUAUUUUAUUACUGCUACAACAUUGGUGGUGUUUGUGUCUUUGAGAAAAAGGUAAAGGAAAGACACUAAACAUGGUACUAACAAAUUCUUUCAGUACAUGUUUUCGUUUUGCAACAGACUGCGCCGGCAUUUGUUGUUGACAUCCUGCUUGCCUCUCGCAUAUAUAUCUAAAGGGAGAAAUUUAAGACUCUUUAUCGCUCUUUUUUGUAGCCCAAAGUGCUUUAUUGUUUUCUAUAAAUACUAACGUGAAUUCAGGAAUCCUUUCAAAAAUUGCUGUGAUAUCUGUUUUCUCAUCUUUUUUUAAAAAAAACCACUUUUUUUUAUAGCAUACAAUUAUUUAUGGUCAUGUUUGAGUGUUUAAGAAAUGCCAUUGAAGGAUUGUAUACAGUAGCAGGAGAAGUGACCAAAGAAGGACAAGGAGACAAGAAAACGUAUGACUUGUGUAUCUUGUGCUUUGGAGACUGGAUCAGAAGACGAUAUAACGCAGCACUUGUCCUGGUGUUUUAGAGAGAAGCAGUGUUACUCUGGAAGACCUGGAUUCUCAGGAAAACCCUCUUGCUGUUAUAGGAUGCGUUUGUUUGAACCAGAUUGGACUCAAGAGAGAGGAAUUGGCUUUACACUUUAUCAGCUCCAGCCAUCUACAGAGUGUAAAUACACACCCCGGCAAGGCCAUUGUGAAUUGAUUUACAAUUAGGCUCGGGAUGUAGUUGAUGAGAGCAGUGAGACAGCCAGAUUCUUUUCCUCCUUCAAGCUGCUUCAAGGCUAGUUCAUACCCUCCUUUACUAUUGAAUACUUUCUGUUCCAGUUUCUCUUGCCCUGUGAGGCUAUUGAUUGUUUAUAUUUUCAUCUGUUUCCUCCAGAUGCUCUGUCUGUGAUUUCUCUUGUAACUCUCACUCUGCUUCUUCAUGUUGCGCUGUUAUUAAGCGUGAUCAUGCAAAUAUCUCUGCGUUUACAGACUAUUCGUUCUGCUCAUGUUGUCUCUGCGUGUAUCCCUCACCCUGUUUUCACCUUUUUUCCUGCAUAUUUUUGUUCUUUCAUCAGAGCAUCUCUUCUUCUGCUAUUCCCCGAUGUUCUGCAAAUGAGCAUAGAGAAAGAGAUAAAUCUGCCCAAUCCCCCCACAUCACGCUGCUUAAUUAGCUGUUGCACAAACGUCUGCGUCAGACUCGGUGGAUGCAUUACAUAAUGUGUUUUAUAAUUCAUUGCAUAUUUCAUGUCGAGCAGCAUCCUGUGCUGCAGAUGGGAAUGUGAAACACAAGUGGAAGAAGGUUACGUGCAGUCACUUGGGGUUUGAGGCUCCGAGUGACACUAAAUACAGCGGCAGUGUACAGCGUGCAUCACUUUGACUACAGUGAAGGUUUAGCAAAUCAGUGUACAAAACGAGCUGAGCAAUUAUCCCUAUUUAUUGCUAGGAUAUAAGGCAAGAUUGUACACUUUUCCAUGAGGACACUAUUUCAUUCUUUUCUUUUCUUUUUUUAAUCUCUCACCUGACAUGAACAGUUCUUGACAGAGCAGAACAAGAUGUUUUGGUAUCAUGUCCUUCCAAGCUUAACUCUGUUGACUGAGUAAUUGUUAAAGUAAUCACUGAGUCAUUUGUCUUCCCAUAAGCCCUUGGCACCAAAUUGCACAAAUACUGGAAUGGAAAGGGCAUGAAAACAAUCCCAGGCUGCACAGCAAACUUCUUGAGAGCAAACUUUCAUCAAACUUUAGACUAGUCAUUAUAUUGAUUCUAUAUGAUGAUGUAGGGGAAAUGUAAAUCCACUAUAAGCUUUGGAGGAAAUACGUUUUGGGUCAGCCAUUAUAGUUUGUUGAUGAUGUUAAGGAUACUGAUUUGGAAUGCGCUGAAAGUUUCUGCAGAAUUGGUUCGAUAGUAAGUAAGUUACUAGGCUUGUUGACGCGUGCUCUGGGGGAGAACUUGUGACCAGGCCACUGUUGCAUGAGAAGAUUGCAUUUCCUCUGAUAUCUAUGGUAGCACACUUCACUGACAGUUCCUUGUUUAUUCCCCACUGGCAAGCAAUGUAUGUUCGCCAACCUAUUAGAGACUGCAGCCUACUGUAGCUCAUCCAGAAAAAAAAAAAUUCAAAAUCAGAGCUGUGAUGUGGAUUCAGUAUGAGGGUUGGCUAGAAACCAAUGUUGAACCAGAGGACGUUGAAAAUGGAGAAUAUGCUCUACGCCAGCGGUCACCAACACUGUUCCUGGAGAUCUACCAUCCUGAAGACUUUAACUCCAACCAUAAUCGUGCUCACCUGACCAUCUAAUCAUUUCCUUAAUAUUGCUUGGAGAAACCUACAGGAAGGUACUGUAGAUCUCAAGGAAGAUGGUUGGUGACCGCAAGCAAAGUGGUCUUAAGAGUGAGUUGUCCAGUCGUCCAACUGAGAUUCUUGUUAGCGAGAUAUUUCAAGAGCACAUGCUUGAAUACUUGUAGGGUUUAUGUGGAAUUAUUGUUGUAACCAGCAGGUGAACUGGUUAGAGUUUUUCAUUCAUCCAAAUAGGGUCAAGUUCACAGCAAGGUCAACUGUCUGAAAUAGUUUUUCUUCAAUAGCUUCCUUCCAUGUUUGUAGUGUAUUUUGUGGGAAUUUCAGGCAUGCACAUUAGUAACAAGAAGGACUAGACUUGUUGGAGGUGGAGGCAUCCCCAGUUCUACUUUUUCCACUUUCUUUCUCUCUCUUUCACUGUCCUAGCUAAAAGUCAAAUGUAAAAGUUAUCAUCACCAAGUACUUGUGUACUUUGUAACUGUGUAACUGUCAUGCUUUUGAAAACAUUUUCAGACACUUUUGUAAUCCUGAAUAGACUAUGAUAAGGACAGCAGAUAUUUACAUCUUUAAUCCAGAUGAGGAUGGGUUCCCUUCUGAGUCGGGUUCCUCUCAAAUUUUCUUCCUCUUAAAACAUCUUAGGGAGUUUUUCCUUGCCACCGUCGCCACUCAGUGGCUUGCUCAGUUGGGAUAAAUUCGCACCUUUAAUAUCUGUAUACCAUGUUGAUAUUUCUGUAAAGCUGCUUUGAGACAAUGUCUAUUGUAAAAAGCGCUAUACAAAUAAAAUUGAAUUAAUUAAAAUCUUUACAUCAUUUUUAAGUUUUAAGAAGUUGUAUCUUUUUGUUAUAUCAUCUUAUUUGUCAUUAUUUAUGUAAUCCUUUAAGAUUAAACUGCACAUUAAUUUAAACAAGAAACACCGUGUGUUUUAAACUCAAGCAUUUCUUUUGGACUUCAUGCUAUGGUCACUUUUGCCACCACGUAUGUGGCAAAACGCAAACAAUAGAACUAGAACGCAAACAAUCUGGAAUGGUUUCUGGAAGUCCAUGCAUGUCUGGAAUGGUGGGGAAGUCCAUGGGGUUGUCCGGAAAGUGUCCUUGAGUCCAGGAGCACACAAGUAAACACACAAGUAACAAUAAUUGAAAAAAGUGCUUCUAAUUAUCACAUAUAUUAAAAGCAGUUAAAUCUUAUGCAUGAUCAGUGUUUUAUAGAAUGGCAUAGCUAAAGAUUAAAUCCCAUCCAGUCCUUUGUUUUAGUGUUUUUUUUUUUUUUUUUUUUUUUUUUAAUAUGCUGGUUCAUUCAGAAGCAGAAAAAGAGAAUUUGCCAAAUUUUAUUUUGCAUGGCCGCAGGUGAUCCAGUGGAACUUUGUAUCCGGUUUUGGACACCACAUAAGAGGUGGUAUUCAUGGAAAAACUUGAGUUAUUCACUGUGCACUAAAGCAUAGUGCUGUGUUUGUUAUGCUGUUGUAGGAGUCACCCAAGGCUUCACAUGCUUUAGGGCUGGAGGCAUUUGUGGGGCAUUCACUGGAACAGGGGGUGUUUGUCUGUUUGGGAAGCCCCUGGUCCUCAUUCCUGGCAAUGACCAGCUGAUCCGACUCUGAGGUUAAAUAUGGUUGUGCUCCUUUGGGUGAUCACUGAAUGCUGUGUGGGUGUUGGAGUAGUUGUGUUGGAGAGGUCAAAGGCCAAGGAGUAGCUCAGCCUCGGUAUGCUUGGCUUCUAAAGUAACAGGUGCCACAGGGCAACAUGAGAGUUCAUGGACUGAUGGGAAUUUUCAGGGGAGGUGUGAUCUUUGGUACCUGACCAAGAAUGUUUUUUUUCCACUCCCGUGGAUGAAAUGAGAGACAGCUGCUCCAGAGGAAAACACAGCACCAGCAGGUUGUGUAACAGGCAAAAGUGAAUCCCGGAGAGGUCAGUUACUUCCUUGUACUCCAAUGUGCGCUGCUCACAUAAGAGAUUGAUUGUUUGUUUUUGAGCAGUUGCAGAGUGAUUGCUUUUACCAAAUGCUUGCUCCUGGCCAUCUGAUGACAAAAAAAAAAAAAAAACUACAGGGUUUGCUAAGAUCAAGAGGUCAAUUUCAUGAUACGAAAGUAGCACUUGUGUGAUCGAGGUUAGAAGCAAUCUGUCACAAAGACACAAUGGUCUCUGUAUGGCACAUUUUAUGCUAAUGAUGAAUUAAAAUAAAAUGUACAUUUAGAAAAGAAAUCAUUAAAAAAAAAGAUCCUUCAAAUGUGUCCUCGUUCACCCUUACACAUUUUUAUGUUACUGCAGGUGCUUUCUCUUAAGUAACUUGGUUAAUGCAUCUAUUCUUAAUAUUAACUCCACCCAACAGGAAGUCAGCCAUUUUGAAUUUUGUGUGUCUUGAUGGGUAUUAAACUUUUAAACAAUUUCUGGAGGAUUCAUGAGAUUCAAAACAAAUUUGGUCAAUAUGAUGCAAAGAGGUCCAUGAUGUUAAAUUGUGAAGGACUUUCUGAUAUCUUAGACAUGAUAUCGUUGCCAUAGUGAGACAGACAAUCAACUAACAUGUUACACCACACCAACAGGAAGUGAGGCAUAAUUCCACUGUAUCUUACAACGUGGCCCAAAAUUUAACAUUACAUGUUCAGUGAUGGGGCAUGGGGACACACACAUGCCAGUAGUGAUUCGGUUUCAUACUGCCUCCAACCGGCAACAGAAAGUGAAGCUUAUAGACCAAACGUUUUAAUACUCCUUCCAUUGGGUUUAUCUGAGUCAUACUAGAUUUAUUCAGCAUGAUGUGAAGAUAUAAUGCAUAAUGAUGAAUUGCUUAGUCAAUGCUGAUAUCUUGCAUGGUGUUGCCAUGGUGAGGUGAUAAAAAAACAAACAAACAAAAAAAACUUAACGCUCAGACAGGAAAUGUAACAUAAUUGCACUGAACAUCAUGCUGUGUGGGACAAAUUUAAAAUGUGUGGUUCAUGGUAUGUGCCGAUAGUGAGGCCUUGGGGCUUGGGCAUCCAGUAUCACCUCUAUGCACCAAAUAUGGCACCCAUUUGAGCUACAUGUUUUCUUAAGACAAGCAAAAUUCACAACCUCAUCCAUGAAUUAGCUCAGCAAGAUGUCAGCCAUUUUGGAUGUUGUAUAUUUUGACUGGUAUCAAACUAUUAUUUGUGAAAUCCCCAUUUUGGUUACCAUUUUGGCCAGUUACCACCCCCAUAAUUGAUAGCCUUGCCUAUGAUGAUGCUAACAAAUAGGACUUUGCAGUGUCACUAGAUAUCAAGAAUAUGUACUGUAGGUCUGUAUGUUCUGCUCCCUUGGCUCCCAGCCUCGGAUGGCUGUAGCAUCGCUAGGAUUAGAGUGUGAUACCACUCUGGAGCCCUGAUGCAACUAUUAUAUAUACAUUCUGGAAUGCCUUCUGUCAUAAUUAGAAAAUGCUCUGCAUGUGCAACUUUAAUAGAAUGAGGGAAACUAUAUUCUCAGUGCGCAUAUUAAAUCUAUGUAUAGUCAAGUAAAACUUGCAUCAAAAAGCUCAAUACCUUGUUCUUUACUUGAGAUUUUGCCUCCAUAUGUACAGUACAUUUAUGUUCCCCUUGAAAAGCCCAACAGUGGAAGACGAGUGGCUGCUUAUUCUGAAAGCAGCACAUGAAUUGCUUUUAACUUUGUUUGCCAUGUCCUUUUCACAGAAACUCUCCAAAUAGGUUCAAACAUGGCCAUCGCUGUCAGCAUUGCCAGAAUUGCCAUGGCAACACUGCUUCUCAGCCAAGUAUUGCCGAGAAAUAUUCCUUUUAACAGUUGGUGAAUAAUGUAUAUUCAUUCAUUCAUUCAUUUAUUCAUUCCAGCACAAAUGGUAUAAAUAUAGAAUCCAGAUAAGAGGUACAUUCCUGAUUUUAUCUGGAACACAUGUAGUGCGUCAUCCGGAGUGAGUUUGAUGAGGGAGCGUCAAUUCAGUUCAAAUUCCUUGGUGUGAGUCUGCUAGUAGAGCUGGCUAGCUGUGAUAGCUUCACAUGAGCACCAUUCCUUGUAAAAUGCGUGGUUUGAACCUUCUAGAACAAGCAGUUCUGUUAUUCACUUCCAGUGUAUUACGUGUAAAUUAAGUUAUGGUGAAAUAGUUAAUCAUGAUUCAUAGCAACGACUAUCAUUAUGCUAAUCUGCAGUGUCGCUAGCUAAUUACAAUAUGCUAAGCUAAGAUGUAAUGAUCUGUGCCCUAUUGCUAAUGUACAUAAUAUCGGAAGAGAUGUCGGACAACUGCAACAUUACAUUACAUUUGUAUAAAACAUGUGAUGUGUCAGUCAUAAAAACAGUCAAACGAAUGAAAAACCCAAUAUAUUACUUGUGAACUCAUUUCAGCAGUCUGUAUGAUGGCCGUGCUUUGUUACUGAGAAAGAGUUUUCCUACAUGCUUACAGCAAUACUUAAGAUUAAAUAUUAAUGAAGUAAAGAUGUACUGAAGGUCUGUUUGCUAGAAGAGCAGAUAGAUCUAUUACAUGGUGAGCUAUUGCAGGAGCAUGAAGAAAUGCAGCAUCAGUCAUAGCAUUUCAUCUUCGGUGGUUUUCAGUGAAUACGCUCGGUGCUUAUUUCAUAUUAAGAAACCACAGAUAAAGGCCUGGAGAAGAUAAAGACCUGAUCUAAUACACUAUAUGGCCAAAAGUUUGUGCACACCCAUAUGUCCUUGUUGAACAUUCCAUUCCUGAUUUAUUCCCCCUUUACUGUUAUAAUAAGCUCCACUCUUCUGGAAAGGCUUUGGGAAGGGGAUUUGUGUUCAUUCAGCUACAAGAGCGUUAGUGAGGUUGAGGUCAAGCACUGAUUUUGGGAUGUCGAGGAGGCUCCAGUUCAUUCCAAAGGUGUUCAGUGGGGUUGAGGUCAGGGCUCUGUGCAGGACACAGACAAGCCACACGUGUCUGGAAGAGCUCGCUUUGUGCACUUUGUGUCGUGCUGGAACAGCUUUGAGCCUCUUAGUUCCAGUGAAGGAAAAUUGUAAUGCUACAGCGUACAGAGACAUUCUAUACAUCUGUGUGCUUUCAACUUUGUGGUAAUAGUUUGGGGAAGAACCACAUAUAGUAUGGGUGUGAUGGUCAGGGGUGUACAUACUUUUGGCCACAUAGCGUAUUUUGUGUUUUGUUGUUAUUUUAAGCUCAUACGCUCUCAGGUUAUUAUACAGUUGAUCAUAAAGCACAUUAUAACAAGAGUUUGGGAUCAGACCAGUCACAGAGCUGUAGAAGUAGAUUUAUCUUCGUAUUGUAAAAUGAUGAUAAAAUUCAAUUAUGGGGUUUUGACAUGAAAUAAGCACCAAACAUAUUGAUUGGGAACGGUCCAUGGUACGCCAUAAAUGGUGCCAUAUGGCCCUUAAAUCUAGGCUAAUUUAAGCAUGGAGUGAAAUUAGUUUUUAGAAAAGACACUUUCUAUCAUAAAGAGUGUGACAAACAUGUAGUUAUCAUUUUUUCUUCUUUUUCCAGACACUUCCUUUCACUCCAAAAAAUCUUCAUCAAUCAAAUUUAUCUGUCUCUGAUAACAGUCAUAAUGUAUUAGUAACUUUGUAUCUUUUUUUUUUUUUCCCAAGGAUUGUGUUUCCAGUGCCAUUUUCAGCUCUCUCUACCACAAUAUCAUAUAGGGCUCCUCUUUAGGCAUCACAUGCUUUUUUUUUUUGUGACAGCCACUUCCCUAGGGGAUGUUGUUUACAGUAAGACUUGCUUAGACAGGGAACAUGAGCCCUGGAGAAUCAGAACCGCUGGUUGUUUUUUCUUUUUCUUCAACAGUCUCUUUGUGAGAGAUCCACAUGGGAUCACAGCAUCCACUCUGGCAGUCAGGGGAGGUCACGUAUAUUUAGCUGUGAAAAUUGGAUUGUACAAGAAACAGCAGAAUGCAUUUGACAGCUCAGGAGCAAACAUGUAGUGCUGAUAGGGGAAUGAAAGUUGUCUGAUUCACCUCGAGUUGUCUAAAACAGUAUUUCCCAACCUUUUUUUCAGCGACAGCACCCUUUUCUAAUUCACAAAUUUUCUAAAAUUUGUGGCACCCUACACAAACAAUAAUGCUGGACAGUGUUAGCUACAUGAGGAUGAAGUUGAUGGUCCAGAAGCAUCUGGAGCUUUUCUUUUAAGAAAUCUGUCCAUAUUCUUUUGCACUACACAUGCAUCAUCACACGCUAAUUAUUAGGAUAAAACACACGCAUAUGUUACGCAUACUGAUGUUGACGUGCUGCUGACAGGUCAGCAAGGGGAUUCGAGGAGGAGGGAAUUCUAAUUUUUUUAAUAUAUAAUUUAUUUUUAUUAUUAUUAUGCGUGUGUGUUUGUCUUAUUUCUGUGUCUGUGUUAUUAUUUCAGACAUCAGAUAUUUAUUAUAUAUAUUAAAUGUUUUAUACACAUUUCAGCAUUUUAGAAAUGUUUGAAGGAUUUUUACACUCCACCCCUGCUCUCAUUAGAUGGCACCCCGGUUGGGAAACACUGGUCUAAAGCGGUGUGCUUGCAAAUAUAGUUGGUUUUGUGGAAAGAGUGUCGUGGUAAUUGUAUGAAUCAGUUGCAGUUUUAUUACCUGGUGACUCCUACACUGCCGUCACUCAUGACUAAUAAAUCUUUUGCAUUUCUUGACACUUUUGAUUUCAAAAAGUUAGGCGGUGCGGCUCGUUCCUUUGUCACGUCCAGCUUCAGACAAUAGUCCAUGAGGAAUAAAACGUCACCGUGCGUGUUGUAGGAACAUAAUCCACACUGGGUGGUGUGAUAUGUUUUAAACUCAACUUGUGAUUUUGUGUGUGUGUGUGUGUGUGUGUCAGAGCCAAAACAUCCUUGUCUGUCAGGUUUCUAAGUCAAUCUGUAAAAUGUUUAGCGAUUUCACGCACAGCGACAAACACAGAAACACACUGAUGAGCCUUGUAACCCUUUAAACCGUCCACCGUCGUUGUGAAUGUUGUCAUGAGCCGCAUCACAAAUCGAAAACUCUGACCUUACAUUCGAAAGUGUCCGUGAAUCUACAAGACUGGCACACAAAACAGAUCUUUUAGUAGGUUUUAAGGUGACAUGAGAGGUUUUUCUGGAACAUGGCAGAAAACUUAGUUACAGUUUCACCUCUGAUUGUUACAAACUCCUUUUGAAAUGCUAAAUAAAAUCUCAACACCAGAACAUCACCAUAUCAACAGUUACUGUGAGAUACAGUAUGAUAAAGGUAAAUACAGUGCAUUAACAUACUGUAGAUGAAUGAAAAUCCUCAGCAGCGGAGCGUUGGUUAGAAACUCAUUCUCGUAACCCUAGUAUGAAUGGUGUCACAGUGCUGCUACUUUCCCCCCCAUACGCUCUCCUGCACAAACACCUACACAACACAUUCCUGUGAUCCACAAAUCAAUCAUAUAAGAGUCCAGCCAGCCAGGAAUAGAAAGGAGAAAGCACAACUGUGAAGGAAUUUUGCACACGUUGGCCUGGUGAGCUAUUUAUAGUGCUGAGGGAGAGCUAUAAAUGAGGGAGGGCAGGAAGAGGAAGUGUUGCCUUGUUGUUAUGCCCUGCUUGGCAUGCCAUGGACAACCCCAGGUCAAAGGCACUGAGGCCAUAUGGUUAAAGUUUGGUCUGAUAAGGCACUGUGUCUAAACCACACACACACACACACACACACACACACACAUACAUACACACACAUACACACACAUACACACAAGCACAAACACACACACUCAAAUGCCGCUUUCAGUCUGUGCUUCGUUCCCUAGAUCUCGUCUAUUUGCGGUCAUGUCUCGCUUCACAAAAAUGUAAACUUCAUUUGCGCAAGCAAACAGAACCAGCAGAGUGCAAGAGGCUGCCCGAGCGCUGAAAGUGUGUCUGAACGUAGCCUGUUGUAUAAUCCCUCUAGGGGCCCCAGUGCUAUUUUUGUUCCUGGAUAUGCGUCACGAUUGGGUAUUUUCUCUGGUGACUAGCUUACAUCAGUAGGUCUCCUAGCAUACGCUCUAUCAGCGAGUGUCUUCUGAUUGAUGGGAGUUUCACUAGGCAGUUUCGUCUCUCGUAUUCUUGACUCCCUCGAAAUGGACAAAGGAAGUGCAAGCACCGAGGAACGCAGCAGAUGACUGAGGAGCCAGUGAAGCCAGGCUGGUUCAUCUGCUCCAUGUGCCAGGAAAUGUCAGUUCCCUCACAGGACAGUGAUGAUACAGGAUAGAUCUCCUUUGUUUCAGUCCUCUCUAAACUGUCCUGGCAGGUGCUAUUACAGUCUGGAAUAGUUUAUGACAUGAUGACAUGAUAUCUGAUGAACACACAUGAAAACACCAGGAACACCAGGAACUGGGCAGUGGGCCUAGACAAGGUUAUAGUUUACAUACUUAACAACUCUAAAUAUGAGUUGAUGUCUCUGCCUAUUCCCAUUUAAGAACGGCAGCUAGUUUAAAAGUGCAUGGAAUAUUGUUGAGACGCUUUUCUUGUCUAUUUUGCAUAUAAUUCAGCCACUCGAGUCAUUCACAUGCGCACAUGCACGUCUCGCCAGCCCACGCUAAGUCUUAUAAACAUGGGGUAGCCCUGGCAUUGAGUUUACAGUGACCUUGAAAGACAGUGAGUUGUUUCCUCACUCCCUUCCUUUUCUUGCACUGCCUGUCUGCCUGUGGGGCUGGAAGAGGGAGAGUCAGUCCUCCUGUCUGAUACUGUAGCUGUGGAAUGAAACCUGCCUCUUCUGCCAAUCGAGCUAAAACCUUUUCCAAUCACAAAUUCUCAGACAUCAUAUAAUCGCUGUGUGUCUGCAGCAUCUCUGGCUUACCUAGAAUCAUUUUAAGGAUCAAGUGUAGGGAAGGUGUCUGCUUAGCGUUGAAGACCUCAUCCAGAGUUUUGAGGGAUUUGACAGGAUGCAUUAAACAAGCUGAGUUGUUUUGUCCUGGUUGCUCUUUCUGCUUUCUAAACUCUUACAUGAUGUUCAGAUCUAACAACAACAACAAAAACAACGAAAUUGUUAUUAUGAUUAGGGACCCAAGCACUGAAUGUGUAAUGGUAAAUUGUCUGCACUUAUAUAGCGCUUUUUUAACCUUAGUGGUUCCAAAGCACUUUACACUGUGUCUCAUUCACCCAUUCACACACACACUCACACAUCAAUGGUAGCAGAGUUGCCAUGCAAGGCGCUAACUUGCCAUUGGGGUUCAGUGUCUUGCCCAAGAACACUUCGGCAUGUGGAGUCAUGUGGGCCGGAAAUCGAACCACCAACCCUACGAUUAGUGGACAACCCGCUCUACCACCUGAGUCACAGUCGCCCAACAGCAUAAAUUGUUUAGAUUAGAUGAGAUUAGAUUAGGUUCAACUUUACUGUCAUUGUGCAGAGUACAAGUACAGAGCCCAUGAAAUGUAGUUAGCAUCUAACCAGAAGUGCAAAUAGCAAUAUGUCUAAGAGAUUAAAUUCUCACUAAGAGUUUUGUUUCAGGUGUUUUGAGUUAAUGAUCUGAUUAGAGCUCUUCUUCUCAGGUGGACAUUUCUGUAUUAUAAAUUCUUUAUUCCAAUAUUUUGAGAUACUGGAUUUUUGAUUUCCAUGAGCUGUAAGCCGUAAUCAUCAAGAUUAAAACAAAAAAAGGCUUGAAUCUAGAAUAUAUAAAAGUUCCACUUUUUAAAUUAAAUUACAGAAAAAAACAAACUUUUCCCUGAUAUUCAAAUUUUUUGAGAUGCACCUGUAUGUGUGUGUAUAGGUAUGUGUGUGUGUGUGUGUGUGUGUGUAUGCAUGUAUGUAUGUGUGUGUGUGUGUGUGUGUGUGUGUGUGUGUGUAUGUAUAUAUAUAUAUAUCUCACACACACACACACAUAUAUACAUGUAUACAGAAAAUAUUAUGUUCUAUAAAUUAUGUGUAUCACCAUGACAUAUGUUAACAAACAAGCUUUGAGUUCAUUUGCAACUUGGUAGGGCUUAAUCUCUUAACAUGCCAGCUAUAUUUAUUAUUACACAAUACUUGCAUUCUUUUAUACAACGUAAAUACCCAUGCAAGCAGGAGCUUGUAAGCACAGAAGUAAUGAAUAGCAGAAGGUGCUAGCCACUUGGCACACCUACCACUGCACAAGAUUGCAGUUUGACUCUCAUUUACAAGGUACAUCCCUACUUCUUCAUCUACUACUCUGCGUUGGCAGUAGAACAAGAAGUAAUUGUGAGCAGAUUUUGCUUCUGCUUAUUUUCCUGGUUACUAUUAUUUGAUGAAGUAAAUGCUAAUGUUAAUAGUGUGUGUGUGUGUGUGUGUGUGUGUGUGUGUGUGAGCGUGUUACAUAUGCUUCUGUCUCUGUUAUCAGAACCCUCUGCUCUGUUGAUUAUUUUAUGUUGGGGAUUGGUAGAGAGUUAUACUGACCUUGCCACUUGCUUUGGAUUUCUUCAAAGUUAACAGUGAGCACUUCCUUUAGGCUUUGGUAGCAUAUAAGGAACUAAAAUAUUUCAGUUGAUGACAUGACAGAGAUUUUCUGACUUUCAAAUGCAUAACAAAACACCAUACAUAUCUAUUAGCUCUCAUAUAUGUACACAAUAUGUAUUGGUCAUUUUUCUUUUAUUAGUUAGUCAAAUUAUCAUGUGGUGUAACUGCCUUAAUAUUAGUGCAAUUCUGAAAACUUGUUUAACACUACAUUUUUGUAUAUUUCAAUUUUGCCAUAUUUAGUAUAAUUUCAAAAGUAUUUUACAUUAGUGAACAUAACUGCAAAGCAUUUAUAGCUGUUUCAUAAUUCACUGUGAUGUUAGAGGUCAUGUAUUUUAUGAAAUAUCAUUUGGUGCAACCAUCAUGAAAAGGCCAUUUUGAGACUUUUAUACUGAAAAUAAUUCAAUGACAAAAAGUCACUUCAUAGCACAAUUUGCCAAUGAUCCUUGGAAACAUCUAGUCUUGUUUAGACUAGAUCUAGUUUGUUAGACUGUUCUAUAGUUGCCAUAUAUAUGGCUGUCAUGUGGUAAGACCUCAUGAAAACGAAAUUAUAUCUAUAAAUCUAUAUCUUUUACAGAUUUUAUAAUAGACUUUAAUUGAAACUUGAAAAUAUCAUGUAGUGUGACCAAAAAUCAUGUGGUGCGACCACUGUCUGUAAUACAUACGUCUUUCUCCUGCAAUUUCAAGCCAGAUUUGUAGACAAAUAUUUUAUUUAUAUUCUGUACAAUUUUAUGAGAAAACAGAAAACUGUUGUCUAGAUGCAACUGAGUAGCAAAGAAAAAACUGUCUGCCACAGGCAGUGGAUUAACUCUGAUCCUAAAGCAAGAGCUGAGUAUCUUGCUAAAAGAAAAGAAAGGUUUGACAUAUAUUUAAAAAAAAACAUACGAUGUUAACAUUGCCGUAUUAUAUUUCUAAUUGGCUGAUUAUGAUGAGAACUCUUCUAACUAGGGCUGCACAAUUAAUCGAAUAUUGAUCUCAAUUAUGAUUUUGACUGCCCACAAUUACAUGAAUAUGAUCAACUGUGAUAUUGAUGUUUAAAGUUCAUCCUCCGCUCAUAGAAAACAGUGCUGCAUAUCAAAUCAAGCGCUUCCUAAACUUGCAGCCACUUACAACCAUAGAGUGGCACGGGGAUGACGUCAUUUUGUAUGCCAAAACCCAGAAAUUAGUUAGCAUUUUAGCGCUUGUGCUGUGAGCUUCGCUUCGGGUUUCAGAGCACGAUGCCAGCUCCAGCGCUUGGCCGAGGGAAUAUCAUGACACUAACAUGUUGCUAAAUGGGACUACAGAUGUUGUCAGGGACAUUAAACGUCAUCACGCCGAACAGGAAACGUCUUUGCAGAUAAACUGGUUCAGGUGUGCUGUGCACAAUUACCAAAAAAAAAAAGGUGGAUGAAGAUUCAUUCACAGAGUAAAUCCGUAUUGUGGAAAAUGUUUUUGAAUCAAGUUUGGAAAUUUGUCUGAAGCUUGGUGAUGGUGACGUUGAAGUCGAGCGACCGUGGUGUAAUUUGUUUAUAGUGUACGGUUAGCUGUUUAUUUCUGGGGAUCGUAUUUAGGCUUCAAACUUCAUAAAAGUUGUCUUCAUUAUUGAAAAUUAUCUUAAUGGUCAAAACGUGUUAGUAUUGUAAACGUUUGUGGAUCACAGAGAUUGUUUUUUGUGAUAAUCCAAAAGCCUACGUGAAAAUCCUAUUGGGUUUUUGUUUGUUUGUUUUUUACUGUGAAUUUGUGAUCAGUAUAUAAUAAACACCUUCAGAUGGUUCAGACAGUUGUUCUGUAUUACGCUAGGGAUAGGAUGAAACAUUCAUUAUCGUUUCAUCUUAAUUAGGUGGGACUGACCUGCUAUUGUCAUGAAAAAAAGGUGAUUUAUACAUGAGUCACAACAUAUGAAUAAUUGAAGGGCUGUUUUUGCAGUUUAGCUUCCAUAUACUGUAUUGACUGUAUGAAUUGGGGGUGAAAGAAACUUUAACAAUGUUUUACAUGAUACGUCAACCUCUUGUUUCAAAAACGCAAGAUGAAUUUGGUUUUCCAUUACAUGGGCACAGCUUCUGUUCUUAUCUAUCAUGCCAUGCAUUUUAAUUGGCCUCUUUCAUAUCUAAUUUACGUCAAAACAUUGUAUGCUAUUGUUUUAGCUAUCAGUGAAGAAUAGUGACCUGCUAAAGACAGGCAGGGAGUAGCAGAAAGAGAAAUGGAGGGCUGCAUCCACAAGUUACAGGGAGAGAAAAAAGAUGGCUAAGGCUGUGUUAGACUUUACACCUCCAUCCAUGGAAAGUAGAAAGUGAUUUUAACACUCAUUGCGUGUUCUUUAACACCAUGCAUGCUCUUCUCAUCAUUUGGUGUGAUCACCCAUCAUGUGGCAUAAGCAGUAAUUGCAAUAAGAAUAUUACAAUUCAAAAUAAGAAAUGUAGGUUCUGUGGCUAAUGUUAUUAAUUGACACACUAUGCUCAAGUGAAUAUUAGUCUUGUACAAUUCGUUUUAUGUUGGUAACAAGUCUGUAAAGUUUAUAAAUUGGGAAGCGGUUUAGUUACAAGACAAAUGUAUGUUGCUGACUUACUGAAAUUCAUAAGUAAUGCAUAGUUAUGUCUAAUACUUUGUAAAAAUUUUUUUUACCAUAUUAAGGAAAUAUAUUAUUUGGUGGCUAAAUCAUGGUCGCACCACAUGAUCCUUUUAAAGACCAUGGCCAGUGAAUUAUUUAAAUAAAUAAAGUGUGCUAAAUUCACAUAAUUUAAUGUAAAUAACCUUUUCCCCUUCUCUCUCUCUCUAUCUCUCUCUCACACACACACACACACACACACACACACACUUUCACCCCACUUUAUCAUAGAUUGCACCAUUUGUUGACUCACUGUAGUUCUCUCAGGACUUUUCAUGUUAGAAUAUUUGACUGUUUACACAGACCUCAGACCAGCUGGGCCAUGUGACAGGUAAUCAACACAUCGGUGUUUAUUCUAUCUCCCUGUUUUCUUAAUACUCACUUCCAUUUCAUGCUGAAUGUGUUAUCGAUUAGGUCUAUUUGAGGAAAGAUCUCAAAUCAACUUUUCUUACCCAACACUAACACAGACAGUCACCUCAGACUCCAAAUAAAUGUUAUAAGAAAUGAUGCUUUUAACACAUUCUCACAUAAACAACUAAACUAACAUAGUCAAUUAGUCAAAUAUCGGAUUUUUGUCGUUUGAUGCGGCUACAUGUGACUAUUUAUAUUAUGGUUUUAACCAACCUGUUAACGCCUACACUUGGACAGAAAAAUAGUACUUUUGCUAUGCUGUGGGAAGUGUAGGAGUCACUUGAGAUAUGGUCAUGUCUUCUUCACCAGCUUUAGGCAGUUGGUUCGCUUUAAGUGUCUGUUUUAUUUUGGUCACAGUUACACAUUUUCUGUUCUAAAAAUACAACGUUAAAACCAUUUUUUCCCAAGCAAAUUCUCAUAAAGACAUCAAGAUGAGCAUAUAAUUGAGUGGUGUACAUAUUGUAUUCAUCACUUUACAGUGUAACGUAUCAGUUAUUAUCAAAGUAGCAGUUGUUCUUAAAGCCAAAUUAUAGCCAAUCUGUUGAAAACCAGCACAGCUUCAUAAUAAGUUGGUCGCAAAUACACGGAGAAUCAUACUUGCUGGGGCUUGUGACCCAAAUCUAACAAAUCCCAUGCCAGAGGACUGUGGAGGUGUAUUGCUGUUAAGACAGAGCUGAACCAGGCUCCUUCCUUCCCUGCGAGUCACUGAGUGUGUUUGUGGCCUGAACUCUUGCUGGGAUAAGCUCUCCAUGCCUUCUGUUGAGCCCAGACCUAUGCCAGCUCCUUUGUAGGAGGAAGGGACAAAACGCCUAGCUUCUGUCCAAUUGUGGGCUUGUUCUUCUUCAAGGUAGGGAGCAGAUACGUGCUGUAGGAAGAGAGAAUGGAGGUAGAAGAGAGAUUAUGGAUCAUUACCUGCUUUCUUAGUAAGAAGCCAUGAUGGUAAAUCUUGCAAUUAUUAUGACAUAAAAAAAUUAUUUUUGCACAUUUUUAACUGGCAAGUACAGUAGCCAGGUCCAGUGAGUGGGCUGAGCUCAGGAAAUGGGCAGAUAGGCAUGUAGGCCCCAGGACCUCUAUCACAGAUGGUCCACCGACACUACCCCAGGUUUGAUGAUGAAAAGAAUGAAUAAAAAAAACAAGCCUCUUGUUUGGAUGAAACUAAGGCAUGGGGUGAGGCAUCUGGCUUUCCCUCAGGUGAAAGGGCAUUUGGUCUUGGCAAAUAACCCAUUUUUGGGAGGAAUACAAGUGGAAUUUGGUGUACAGGACUGGGUCUAGACUCCAUGCAGAGCUGUAAGAGAGCAUGGAAGAGCAGCCAGGAAAAUAGGCUUAGUUCCACUGUGUAACAGUCAGCCUGCAGUUGAGCCCACCUGUCUUCCCUGGCCUAGGCUAUGUAUUUUCCUGUCAGCCUCCAGACGUGAGGAAACCUGCUCACCAAAGUGUAGAUGCACAUGACCAUGGCCGAAUAAACAUCUUAGGCUCACCUGACUUCAUUUUUAUUAUGGAAAGUUAGAGCUGUAGCAAUAGUCAUCAGUUAUUCUGUAGAAUUUCCAUAACCAGUAGUUCUUUUUUCUGGUAUCUUAUUGAUUGCAUUAAAAUACAUAUAAUAGGCUAUAGAAUGAAGAAUACUUUAAUUCUGAGAUGGCGGUGCAGUGUGCUCUUAUAGUAGCAGGAGUAAAUAAGCUCCAAAUAUGAACACCUCAGCUCGUGGAAAGAUGAGCUGGAUAAAACCACCCUAACAAUGUUACAUUUAAAAAAAAAUAAUAAAAAAUUCCAGCAAAUGGGGAUUUGUUGGAUGGUUGCUAUGGUGUUGAGUGACUUCUGAAACAUCCGAUCAGCGUGCUGCCUGUGAGUAAGCCAAUUAUAGCACAGAUAUGAGAUAUGUCACAGUCAAUUCAAUCAAUUGUCAUGCUAUUAAAUGAACACAUGGAAUUUUUCCUGAUUUUGUUUACUGUAGUUUAUAAUAUUGUCAGUUGCCAAACCAUGCACAUUCCUUCAACAAGCCAGUUACAAAAUAUAACCUAAAAUGCACAUUUUACAACCCUGAUUGAAUGUAUGCUAUUGCACUGCUGGCUUUGUUCACCAUCACACAACCCACACUGAUUUAUUAUUAUUCUUUUUUAAAUCAAGGUCAGUCUUACUCUCACCUCAGCAUUUUUCAGUGCUCAAGCCUGCAGCACUCUGGAAUGGCUGACUUUCCAUCUGCUCCUCACCCAUCUCUCCUUUAGUUCCAGGAAAAUCUGCUGCCCUGAUCAUUAAGACUGGAAAAAAACAGAGCUGGCUUUACUCACCAGGCUGGUGACUUGUGCCAUUAAAUUAUAAAGCUUGUUUGUGUGACUCAUUCUCAUCAUGGACUCAUUGUAUUUCUAAGACUUUUUUUUUUUCCUUCCCAAGAAUUCUCCUUCCAAGUUUGAUUGUAAAAUGAGCUUUUGGGUGAAGGUGUAAAAGACGGUGAAGUGAAUUUGCCCCAUUCUGUCCUUUUGCACUGCUCUAAUUACAUUGAAGUAUUUUUCUUUUCCAUGCCUCACACCACUUUUGGCAGGACAAAGGCUGUGGCAGUAUUUUUAGUCACUGAAAGGAGCAAGAUACAACUGGCCGAGUCAGAAAGAAGGACGAAGUAGGGAUGGAAUAAGGGAAUAAAUAAAAGUCACAGCUCAGGAGUAGAGGUGGGAGUUGUGGGUUGCCAAGGACAAGGCAAUGCUGCUCUAUUUAAAAACCGCAGGAGUCUUUGAGUGCUGCUGUCAGGGGGUAUGUGUGCGUGGAGUGUGUGGAAGGAGAGACAGGGGGUGCAAGUGUGUGGGGGAACAGCGAGAAGGAAAUAGGAAACCGCCGCUAGCAUCAUACUUCUUAUUACAGUGCCAUCCGGUCUGACCACACACUGCAUCAAACAUGACAGCAAGGACAGCCAGGCACUGUGACACAGCUUUCUCUCUAUGCUCACAGGAAGGAAGUAAACAUACAUGUAGUGUACAGUAUAUCUAAUGAAAUAUUGCAAAUAUUUUAUUCAAAAACUUACAUACUGCAUACACAUAUAGUAACAGUGCACAUAUAGUAAUUCUAGCUACAGUUAUUUUUUUUUACUGCUUUCCUUUCAGCAAGAUGUUGAUCAUACUGUAUAUUGAACAUGGUAUUAAGAAAAGUUCAUGUUAUAUGUUUUCAUGUUACAUGACACAAUACGUAUUGUGCUAUACCUUUAAACAAAAAAAAGGCAUUGGUACUUAGUUCUGUGAAAACCUGACCAUUAAAGAAACCUGAAUGUGUAAAGAAAAAAAAAAAAAAAGCCAAAACUUAAGUCUUACCCAUUGUAAAGCUUGAGCCAGAGACCUAAAAGAGUAGUAAGAGUACUUUGCACUUCACAUGUAUCAGGGUCACUCUAAGUACAAGGCUCACAGUUUACUGUCUCAGAGUUAAUAAAUAGGAGCAAGCUCAGGGAGGGAGGGAG
ensembl:lncRNA